rnacentral:SRP_RNA from 1 species
CGCACUAAGCGGGGAGUUAGCGGUGCCCUGUACUCGCAAUCCGCUAUAGCGAGGCCGAAUCCCCAUUCGGAGGCAAACUGUUGUGAGGUCGAUCCCGGCACGGAGUGUUGAUCGGCGGGUCCUGUGCAACCGUGCACUGUGAACCGUGUCAGGUCUUGACGGAAGCAGCACUAAGCAGACAGUGCGGUGUGCCGCGGGAAAACCUGCAUGGAGCCACCGACCGGGCCACCACUCGGAGCAGAAUGUCGAUGAACGGGUGU